rnacentral:piRNA from 1 species
UGAUUCUUUUGGAGAAAAUAGUCUGC